rnacentral:rRNA from 1 species
AUUGAACGCUGGCGGCAGGCUUAACACAUGCAAGUCGAGCGAGCGGCGGACGGGUGAGUAAUGUCUGGGAAACUGCCUGAUGGAGGGGGAUAACUACUGGAAACGGUAGCUAAUACCGCAUACCAUCAGAUGUGCCCAGAUGGGAUUAGCUAGUAGGUGGGGUAAUGGCUCACCUAGGGGACGAUCCCUAGCUGGUCUGAGAGGAUGACCAGCAACACUGGAACUGUGCCCGGGUCCAGACUCCUACGGGAGGCAGCAGUGGGGAAUAUUGCACAAGGGGCGCAAGCCUGAGGCAGCCAUGCCGCGUGGGUGAAGAAGGCCUUGGGGUUGUAAAGCAUUUUCAGCGAGGAGGCGUUACUCGCAGAAGAAGCACCGGCUAACUCCGUGCCAGACGCCGCGGUAAUU